CGUAUUGUUCGUGGACAGGAGGAACGGUUGCAGAAGCGUCGCCGGAGACUUGC
rnacentral:sRNA from 1 species